rnacentral:rRNA from 1 species
UACAGAGGUCCCGAGCGUUGUUCGGAUUCAUUGGGCGUAAAGGGUGCGUAGGCGGCGGGGCAAGUCAGGUGUGAAAUCUCGGGGCUCAACCCCGAAACUGCACUUGAUACUGCCUUGCUCGAGUACUGGAGAGGAGACUGGAAUUUACGGUGUAGCAGUGAAAUGCGUAGAUAUCGUAAGGAAGACCAGUGGCGAAGGCGAGUCUCUGGACAGUUACUGACGCUGAGGCACGAAGGCCAGGGGAGCAAACGGG